UAGGCCUAACACAUGCAAGUCGAGCGAGACCUUCGGGUCUAGCGGCGGACGGGUGAGUAACGCGUGGGAACGUGCCCUUUGGUUCGGAAUAGCCCCGGGAAACUGGGAGUAAUACCGGAUGAGCCCUACGGGGGAAAGAUUUAUCGCCGAAGGAUCGGCCCGCGUUGGAUUAGGUAGUUGGUGGGGUAAUGGCCUACCAAGCCGACGAUCCAUAGCUGGUUUGAGAGGAUGAUCAGCCACACUGGGACUGAGACACGGCCCAGACUCCUACGGGAGGCAGCAGUGGGGAAUCUUAAAAAAUGGGGGAAACCCUGAUCU
rnacentral:rRNA from 1 species